GCGCCUGUAGCUCAGCUGGAUAGAGCGUUGGCCUCCGGAGCCAAAGGCCGUGGGUUCGAAUCCCGCCAGGUGCGCCA
rnacentral:tRNA from 1 species